rnacentral:misc_RNA from 1 species
AAGUCGUAACAAGGUAACCGUAGGUGAACCUGCGGUUGGAUCAUUACAAAAUUGGUAUUUUACCAAACAUUGUGUGCACUAUAACUGUUCUUGGUAGCCCUGUGGAGUUGGGGAUUUGCGCUGUUGAAAGUUCAACCUUGGGAGGGAUUCGGAUCUCGAUACGAGGGUGCCUUCCGGUACCAGUCGCUCGGGAUUGCGCCCCUCCCCGGCAGUUGGCUUUUGCAGUGUUUCUUCUCAAUAAAGCAGCCUACCGAAAGGUGGGAAGGUCCGGCUUCGCAAGCUGCCUGACAUUUCUGCCUGCUCCAACCUUGUACUUUAUAUUUUAUGUCUGAAUCAAUUCACCCAAAAGUGAAAUGAAAAACAACUUUUGACAACGGAUCUCUUGGCUCUC